rnacentral:rRNA from 1 species
GACGAACGCUGGCGGCGUGCUUAACACAUGCAAGUCGAACGGAAAGGCCCUGCUUUUGUGGGGUGCUCGAGUGGCGAAAGGGUGAGUAACACGUGAGUAACCUGCCCUUGACUUUGGGAUAACUUCAGGAAACUGGGGCUAAUACCGGAUAGGAGCUCCUGCUGCAUGGUGGGGGUUGGAAAGUUUCGGCGGUUGGGGAUGGACUCGCGGCUUAUCAGCUUGUUGGUGGGGUAGUGGCUUACCAAGGCUUUGACGGGUAGCCGGCCUGAGAGGGUGACCGGCCACAUUGGGACUGAGAUACGGCCCAGACUCCUACGGGAGGCAGCAGUGGGGAAUAUUGCACAAUGGGCGGAAGCCUGAUGCAGCAACGCCGCGUGCGGGAUGACGGCCUUCGGGUUGUAACCCGCUUUCGCCUGUGACGAAGCGUAAGUGACGGUAAUGGGUAAAGAAGCACCGGCUAACUACGUG